rnacentral:rRNA from 1 species
AUUGAACGCUGGCGGCAUGCCUUACACAUGCAAGUCGAACGGCAGCACGGGUGCUUGCACCUGGUGGCGAGUGGCGAACGGGUGAGUAAUACAUCGGAACAUGUCCUGUAGUGGGGGAUAGCCCGGCGAAAGCCGGAUUAAUACCGCAUACGAUCUACGGAUGAAAGCGGGGGACCUUCGGGCCUCGCGCUAUAGGGUUGGCCGAUAGCUGAUUAGCUAGUUGGUGGGGUAAAGGCCUACCAAGGCGACGAUCAGUAGCGGGUCUGAGAGGACGACCAGCCACACUGGGACUGAGACACGGCCCAGACUCCUACGGGAGGCAGCAGUGGGGAAUUUUGGACAAUGGGCGAAAGCCUGAUCCAGCAAUGCCGCGUGUGUGAAGAAGGCCUUCGGGUUGUAAAGCACUUUUGUCCGGAAAGAAAUCCUUGGCUCUAAUACAGUCGGGGGAUGACGGUACCGGAAGAAUAAGCACCGGCUAACUACGUG